AGCAGCCCAGCGCCUGGGCAGCGGCCAGUGGGCAGGGAGGGGCAGCCCCUCUCCAUUUCCCCACCUCCCAAGCACCUUCCCUUUGCAGUGGACAGCUUCUGUAGCAGCAGUAUUGACAAUGAUGCCUUCAUCAUUAUCCUGAAAACCUGUCAGAGGUAAAGGUUUGAUUGGUCUCUACCCAGACCAUAGAGGAAUUUCUCUAGUUGCUUCAGAGCUAGGGAAAUGCAUGUGUUUGUGUGUUCAAGUCAAGAUCCCAUCAAGAACUGUAGGCUCUGUUUGGUGUCGUCUCUGAAGUCUCUUAUUUAGUUCUGGGAUAUGUGUGCAGGAUGUGUAGGUUUGUUACACAGGCAAACCUACUGUGUAACAAACCUACACAUCCAUCAACCCAUCACCUGGUGUUAAGCCCCGUGUGCAUCCAAUACUUCUGCUGAUACUCCGCCUCCCCCCACCCCACCCCUGCCAUUGCCCGGUGUGCGGUGUUUCCCUCCCUGUGUCCACGUGUUCUCGUUGUUCAGCAGCCGCUUAUAAGUGAGGACAUGCGGUGUUUGGUUUUCAGUUCAUGUGUUAGUUGGCUGAGGAUAAUGGUGUCCAGCUUCAUCUGUGUCCCUGUGAAGGACAUGAUUCUGGAGUCUCUUUUCAUCAGGAGUCGUCUUAGCCACCUCUCCUCUGCUCCACAGUUUGUUUCUCAUCUUUGAUCUGAAGGAACUCGGUCGAUUGUCCCACGGAAUAUUCCACCUUCUGGAUUUAUCUCCUGAUGAGGGCCAGUCAACCAGAGAAGAGAGGAAAGGAAGCUGAUGUGUGCCCCACCCACCCUGGUGUCACGGCUCCUCCACGUGGAGAGAAAGGUCUGGCUCCCCGUAUAGUUCAAGCUCCCGUGGGUGGGUCCUUCUGGUUGCUGUUGCCACUGCUGCCACCACAGAAUUACUUAGGAAUUAGGACGUAAGUGAAUAUAUACACAUUUUUAACGGGAAUUUUCUGAGUGUUAGGAGACCUUUUUCCGAUGAAUGACUCAACCCAGAACUUGAGGGUCUCUGAGGCCAUCUGUACCCAUACCCUCUAGUCUGGAUUUUAGGCUUUUUGAGUCUAGGCUGAAUGACGCUGAAGGAAAACAUGGGAAAGUCACUGCCAGUUCAGUGAUAUUUAAAGUGCUGUCCUUCCUCCCAAUGUACCUUUUCCUAUUUACUUUUUAGAGACUGCCAUUAGCUGCUCCAUGCUUCAUAUUCAGGUUUUAAAAUAGCUGCAUUUAGUGGGAAAGACAGGAAGGAGAGUUCCGUUACAGCAGGAACCUGGAUUCGACACCCUUCACUCUCACCGUGACUGCUCUGAUACGUCACAUGAAAUGUGGCAACUCUAUGAUCACAUAGGUCCGUAUUCCUCCCACCCACACCCUUUAUGCUAUUGUUGGUAGACAUACUUUAUUUACGCUUAUUAUGAACUCCACAAGGUAAUGUAGCAUUUGCUUUAAACAGUCACAUGCAGCAUAAAAGAAUUAAAGGCAAUAAAGCAGAAAACAUCUUUUGUAUUUAGCCAGAUAUUUACCAUUUCUUAUGCUCUUCAUUCACUUCUGAGGAUCUACAUUUUCAUCUGAUAUCAACUUCUUUCAUUCUGAAAGAAAUUCUUUCAGCGUUUCAUGUUGUGAGCGUUUGCUGGUGACAAAUUGUUUUCUUUGACAUGAAAAUGCCUUUCUUUUUUUUUUCCCCCCCGAAUAGGAAAACAUGGUAAACUCACUGCCACUUCAGUGAUUUUUGUUUAUUUGUUUGUUUGUUUUGAUACGGAGUCUUACUCAUCGCAGGCUGGAGUGCAGUGGUGUAAUCUCGGCUCACCACAAUCUCCACUUUCUGGGUUCAAGCAAUUUUCCUGCCUCGG
ensembl:lncRNA